UGGGCGUAAGCGUCCGCAGGUGGUUGGACAAGUCUGCUGUCAAAGCGUGGAGCUUAACUCCAUAAAGGCGGUGGAAACUGUUUGACUAGGGUAUGGUAGGGGUCACGGGAAUUCCCAGUGUAGCGGUGAAAUGCGUAGAUAUUGGGAAGAACACCAGCGGCGAAAGCGCGUGACUGGGCCAUUACCGACACUCAUGGACGAAAGCUAGGGGAGCGAAAGGGAUUAGAUACCCCUGUAGUCCUAGCUGUAAACGAUGGACACUAGGUGUUGCCCGUAUCGACCCGGGCAGUGCCGUAGCCAACGCGUUAAGUGUCCCGCCUGGGGAGUACGCACGCAAGUGUGAAACUCAAAGGAAUUGACGGGGGCCCGCACAAGCGGUGGAGUAUGUGGUUUAAUUCGAUGCAACGCGAAGAACCUUACCAGGGUUUGACAUCCUGCGAAUUCUUGGGAAACCGAGGAGUGCCUUCGGGAGCGCAGAGACAGGUGGUGCAUGGCUGUCGUCAGCUCGUGUCGUGAGAUGUUGGGUUAAGUCCCGCAACGAGCGCAACCCACGUUUUUAGUUGCCAGCAUUGAGUUGGGCACUCUAGAGAGACUGCCGGUGACAAACCGGAGGAAGGUGUGGAUGACGUCAAGUCAGCAUGCCCCUUACAUCCUGGGCUACACACGUACUACAAUGCUUCGGACAGAGGGUUGCCAACCCGCGAGGGUGCGCUAAUCCCGUAAACCGAGGCACAGUUCAGAUUGCAGGCUGCAACUCGCCUGCAUGAAGGCGGAAUCGCUAGUAAUCGCCGGUCAGCAUACGGCGGUGAAUACGUUCCCGGGCCUUGUACACACCGCCCGUCACACCAUGGGAGUUGGCCACGCCCGAAGUUGUUACCCUAACCACUUGUGGAGGG
rnacentral:rRNA from 1 species